rnacentral:rRNA from 1 species
CUGAACCAGCCAAGUAGCGUGAAGGAUGACCGCCCUAUGGGUUGUAAACUUCUUUUAUACGGGAAUAAAGCGAGGCACGUGUGCCUUUUUGUAUGUACCGUAUGAAUAAGGAUCGGCUAACUCCGUGCCAGCAGCCGCGGUAAUACGGAGGAUGCGAGCGUUAUCCGGAUUUAUUGGGUUUAAAGGGAGCGUAGGCGGACGCUUAAGUCAGUUGUGAAAGUUUGCGG